GAACGCUGGCGGCAUGCCUUACACAUGCAAGUCGAACGGCAGGCACGGGAGCAAUCCUGGUGGCGAGUGGCGAACGGGUGAGUAAUAUAUCGGAACGUGCCCGGUCGUGGGGGAUAACGUAGCGAAAGCUACGCUAAUACCGCAUACGUCCUACGGGAGAAAGCGGGGGGAUCUUCGGACCUCGCGCCAUUAGAUGAGCCUAGGUCGGAUUAGCUAGUUGGUGAGGUAAUGGCUCACCAAGGCGACGAUCCGUAACUGGUCUGAGAGGAUGAUCAGUCACACUGGAACUGAGACACGGUCCAGACUCCUACGGGAGGCAGCAGUGGGGAAUAUUGGACAAUGGGCGAAAGCCUGAUCCAGCCAUGCCGCGUGUGUGAAGAAGGUCUUCGGAUUGUAAAGCACUUUAAGUUGGGAGGAAGGGUAGUAACCUAAUACGUUGCUACUUUGACGUUACCGACAGAAUAAGCACCGGCUAACUUCGUG
rnacentral:rRNA from 1 species